rnacentral:lncRNA from 1 species
CUCCAUUUGUCCUCCUUCAGUGAACUCUCCAUGCAGGAGCUGGAAGUCAUUAACUGGCAUGCUUCCAUCUAAUUUGGACUCUGAUCUAAGCUUGUUAUGGCAGAGCUUCCUUUGUAGAUCUGUACAGGGCUGAUUUCACUGCUGCUCUGAUGAAAGAAUAGCUGUUUGGCUGCUUAAACACUACCUCUUUGCUUCCAGGAUGCCCUUGUGACCUGCUGGAAAGAUAUGGGCCUAAUGAGGUAGGACUGUAGGUACUUACAAGUCCACCUGUCUGUGAGAAGGAAACGCACGAUUGUUUAAAGAGGAAGUCGUCCGGGAUACAGGAAAUCUGCUCCGGAACAGGGCAGUGGUCAGCUUUGCUGUGGGCUCUUCUGUUCCCAUGAGCUGCUCAGGACUUGUGGUGUGGCCCGAUGUUUAGUUAUCGGAGAAAUGAAUGAAAGACAUGAUGUCUCCUGAGUGGUUACUUCUCUUGAAAUGAGACUCAGCAACAGAGCUCUUUGCCACUGACAAAUGUUUGAAUUAAGUACUCAGGGCAUAUUGGCACAUGUCUUCUCCAAGGCAGGAAGUGCUUCUGGGCAGUUCUGUCUGUCAUGA